rnacentral:lncRNA from 1 species
CUAAUUAAAAAUAGAUUAAAAAAAAACAUAAAAUUUUUUGAAUUACAAAUUAUUUUAAUUUAGUUAUCUAAUCUUUUAAAAUUUUUAUUUUACUUUCUAAUCUUUCAAUUGGUUUAAUUUAAAACAAUUAAUAAUAUUUUGACUUGAAAAUUUAAGUUAAUUAUUUCUUUUAAUAAACUUAUAAUUACGAGAAUUGCAUGAAAUAUACUAAUUAAAUAUAUAUAGAUAAAUGACGCAUUCAAAUUUUAAAAUUAAAAUAUCGUUGACUGAGUCAAAUAAAAUAAAUUGAGAUAUUAGAUAAUAUAAUUAAAAUUUUAAAAAAAUUAGAUAGCUAAAUCAAAAUAAUCUAUAAUUCAAGUACGAUUUUUACUUCAGAAAUUUAGGACUUCUUUCACCUGGCAGUGUGGCCUCCUGCUGCAAUUUUCUAAAAAAUGUGUAAUUAUGCAAUUGUGCGUGGGGUUGUAUGUGCAACCACAUGGACAAAAAUUUUGUGGGCACCGUCCCCAAACGCCACGUGGC